UCAGUAGCUAUAGAUCACCAGGCGUUGAAGCAUGGGGGCAUCGCAGUGAAGACCUGCCAAGGACCCAAAAAUUCUCAAAGCAUGACGGCCAUGCCAAUAAGUUCCUCCAAGUUGACAAGCUCUCAUGUUAGAUAUGCAGGCGCAGGCAACCUUCUGCACUCGAGAUGUUAUGGACUACAUCCCCCUUGAUGCUUUGCCAGCAUUAUGGUUGUAAGAGUAUUACGGGAGAUGUAAGAGUAUUACGGUAGUCCACAACAUCGGGAGUGUGGAGAGAUGCCUAGGUCUGUCAUCGUGAAGAUAUAAAAGGGGAGGAGUCUCCAGUGGAAUGUGCCUAACAGUUCCACUGAUUUCCAUGGUGAUUUCGUCACUUUUACCAAACACGACAGACUGAUACAUUUCCCUGUGUGUUGCUUACAGGACAUGCAGGUAAAUAAAAUAUUAUCCAAUCUUACCUGUACAUUAAGUUUCAUUUUUUGAUAACUUUUCCUAACCAGAUGCUCUUUAUUCAUUUUAACCAAGCAUAUGGUGGGCUGUUGUGGUGAUCGAGGGCUUGCGUCUGUAGUUGUUUUUGUCGCACAUUCAAUGGAUACAAAAUAACAUUUUUCAGUCUUCUCCCAUUAGAUGGAACACACCUGAUUUGUGCUUGGUUAUAUUUCUAUAUUCUUUUAUCGAGACGGGGGACAUAUGUAUUUGUGCCAAAAUAGGCAUGGGGCAAUAAUAAGCAAAAUGAAUAAACUAUUAGUGUUAAAUAGCAUUCACUUUGUUUAAGCAAAUAUCACAUUGAAACAUUAGAUCGAUAGCUGGUACAGAAACAUAGGACAACACAAAGAAAAUGUUACAAAUAUUAACGAUUCCGUCUAAGCCAAUGAUAGUAAACUUACACACUAGAAAUUUCUAAACGACAAUUCUCACGAUACACAGCACCCUCUCAAUUACUUUAGGGGAAGUGUAGUAUGAAGUUAUUUGGGGGGAUAGUUUACCAUCACUGCCCUAGACAAUGCUGCGAUAAUAGAGAAAUAAACCUUUAUUCUGAUAAUAAAUUAAGUAGGGGGUCUGUAUUUUUCCACGUGUUGCUGCUUUCUUGUUGUUAAACCUGCAGAUAAAUCGCCCUCCUCCUCAUAGCGAUGGCAGGUUGGAAGGCGGCUGGAUUAUGUGACCUUUGAGAGAAAAACGGGAGAAGCCGAGAGUUAAAAUUGCAAGACGUUCUGUUGGAGCAGUGAGUCACUAUACAAACUGUAAUGAAAUCCCCAAACGGACAGACAAUCCCAACAGUUUAUUGAUCUUUCACAAGCGGGCAUUUCGUGACCAGUCUCGGGGGGCUUUGACAGGCCAAGGGUUUUUUCAUGUGAGCAAUACUCAGAAUCUAUCAAUUGCGUUGGACCAAGGAGGUUGAGUCUUGCACAAUCAUUUCCUCUUCUGCUGCCGCUGGCCUCCACAGCUCAUGAAUCCCAGCCAGAAGAUUGAGAACACAUUUUCAGAAAAUUUGCAUCCAGAUUUAUUUUUUUAUACAAAUGUUGAAAUCAAUUUUGGGAAUUUUGCGAAUAACUCCGUGUGACUUCCUACAGAUUUCCAUUAGCUUUGGCGUGGCAAGUCAAUCCACCGGAGAAGGAGACACUGUUACAAAACAAUAAAC